UCUAUAUAUAUAUAAUAUUAUAGUAAAAUAGACAAAACAGAAGACCAGUGAUUAUUGAAAGCCAGCUAUAUCUCCAUCUCCACCACCUUGCUGAAAGAUCAGUAAGCCCGGUGUUUGUAACUGACAUCAGUGCAUUGGCAAAGGUCAAAUCUUCCAUCAUCCUGGGUUCCUCGCUACAGACUCAGUUUCCAGGCCACAUCACUUGGACUGAACGCAAUGAUGAAAUGUUUUCUCGAGUGCGGUUUAGUCUGUCAUAUCCUCUCACUUCCAGUAGGAGUUAGCGUGGACCAAAAGGAAGAGAGAUCAAUAGAAAGCAGGUUCCCAGGGUUCCAAACCAACGUCAGGACUUUGUAUAAAGCUAGAGAAAGAAGCUUUCUACCAGUGAUGGUUAAAAACCUGACCUCCAAAUAUGAAUAUCCCCAAAAGCAAAUGAAAGCUUCAACGACUUGAAUCAUCUCAGUUCCUAGAAAGGCUGAAAUGGCCAUUGAGAACUGAUUGUUCCAGUUCGGCUGGGGCUAAGUUACCAUGUGACAUUUUCAAUUAUUCUUCAGGAAGGUACUUGUAAUUUGGUUGCCUGGCAAUUUGGUUUUUUAAUAUAGUCACUUCGUCUUGAAGUUACAGAAUGUUGUGAGUGAGAACAACCGAGAAUAAACUUUGACUCACGACCAAGAUAGGAAUGAAUGAUCUUCUAUCAAUGUUUUCAUUUUGUCCCUAAGCCCCAUAACAGUCUGCAUUUUAGGAGGGUAUUCAUUGUAUUUUGCAUCCGUCCAAAGAGUGUAUGCAAGGGCUGCGGUAUUCUGAAUGGUAAUACCAUGUUACUGUCUCAGUCCAUUCAGGCUGUACAAUAGAAUACCAUACUCUGGAUGGCUUAUAAACAACAGACGUUUCUUUCUCACAGUUCUGGAAGCUGGAAGUCCAGGAUCAAGGUGCCAGCACAUUCGGUGUCUGGUGAGUACGCGCUUCCUGGUUCACAGAUGGCCGUCUUCUUACUGUGUCCUCACAUGGUAGAACGCCCUCAUCCUAUCAGGUGACGCCGCCCACUCUGGGGAGAGCCGUCUGCUUUACUGAAUCCACCUGUUCCAAUGCUCAUCUCAUCCAGAAACACCCUCGCAGGCACACCCAGUGUCAAUGGUGACGGGGAAAAUAGACGACCCUAAUGAUCUUUAGGAGAACUGUGUCUUUAUCCACCAUUGCUGAGCUGGGAAAACAGUCUCUUCAGAGAUCCGUCCUCAAGUACUUGCAAAAUAAUACACUUGGGAGAAGACGACGCACACACGCGGCUCAACAACGGGGCGCAGCGUGACGGGACGCGGGCGCCGACGGAGAAGCGCCCCGUGACGUUCGUGUCCCGGACCACAAAGGAGGCCGAGAGGUUCUCGGGCCUGGCGUGCACUUUGGAAUGGACGUGACCUGCAGCAGCGAGAAGAGGAAGGCCGGGUCAGGGGACGGAGAGCGCGAGAGCGGCCCUAGGCGGCAGCUCUGUCCCCCGAAAGCCAUCGAGAAUGCGGCAUUGCGGCCACCUCCUCACCUGGGUCACGCCCGAGGAUGCCUCCGUCCCGGCGGAUUCGUUGUGGGCACAGACUUCCGGAAACCACUGCACGCGAUACCGACUGACACCGGAAUCUGUAAGGUCGAGACCAAUCAGCCAAAAAGAACAGUCUGCAAGUCACAGCGCACGCAGCCCCAAGUUCUCCAAGCAUGACAGACCAGGAAGGAAGGACAGAGUCCCGCAGGUGAUCCAGAAUUGCGUACACCAACCAGAGGAGGCUGUAAGAGAGACUCGUCUCAAGUCUCUGAAUCCUACAUUUUUCUGACGAAGCUGAUGGAGAGGCUGUCAAGCCCAGGCAGGAACAAAAGCCUUGCCCUCAACGUGAAGACCUGGCCCUUCAGAUGUGCUCCGUCUCGAGCCUUGCUGUGACGGGGUCCCCUCAGCAGAAGAUACAGGGUGAACAGCCUCCCGGUGCCUUACGCGUAAUCGUGUUUUCAUAAGAGGAGGCACAGAGCAACACAUCGGACCCCUCAGCUCUCAACGCCGCCCUGCCCGAGUCCACGCCCACUCUCUCUGGAUCUGCCACCUCCGUGAAGAAUUUCACCCAAGCCCAAGGCUUUCCAAGACGGCUCUGCGUUUCUACCUUCACCUGAGCUGUUCCCUGGAGGAGCUGGUGUUCCCAACUUCCUGUCCCAUGUAGAUGCUUUUCAAACUCAGCACUUCUAAAACCACACCCUUUAUCCCUGCCCUCAAUUGCCCUUGCAUUCAGCUUGCCUCUUAUUUAAUCACGCCUUUUUGUUUUCUGUAUCUGUGAUGUUCUGACAUCUUGCAGCCUUGCCGACCCUGCAGGGACCGCCCUCGCAGGGUGGCCGCUGCCCAGGUAGCAAACGAUGCACCCGCAGGCCUGUGUGUCCCGUGAAGACCAGCCGACCCGGAGCCCCUCCUCUAUGGGGCCCUCACUCUGGGCCACCACCCUUAUCACCCCGGGGCCAGGCGCCAGGCAGCUGGGGACAGCCCCUGCACCAGAGCCCCCGGAAAGUAUCCCAACUAGCCAAUCCCGAGAGCAUCUUGCCUUUCCUACUCCCCAGAGUAAAGGCUCAUGAGCACAGUUUCCUGCUUCCUGACUGACCCUGGUGCCUCCCCGUGUGGCCCGAGUGGUGGUGGAGGGCCCCCCUCCUGGGAGCUGUGAGUAACAAACUACCUUCUCAGUGGCCGUUGUCUCUGGAUCUGUUGCCUUCACCAAACCCGAAUAAAACCCACUCUUUAAAACAUGAUUAAAAUGAACAGGCUGUCUUUUAAGCAGUCCUUCAUGGCACUUUUUCAGACACAUACACAGGAGUCCACAGUCUUCCAAGCUUAAUCAAAAACUGGCAUGCGUUUCUCAUGCAGGUCUAUACAAUCGGUUCUCGUUAUUCACACAAGUGAGGGUUUAGAAAAUCACCGUGAAUGCCAGGUUAGCAAAUCCUGGACGGCUGUUUCUUGGAGAAAUACAGUGUUAGUUUCCCGUGAGCUUCCGGUCACCACAUUUUUUGCCAGCCAGUCAAUACAUAAUCUUAUU